rnacentral:misc_RNA from 1 species
AACGCAUCUUGCACUCCAUGGUAUUCCGUGGAGUAUGUCUGUUUGAGUGUCAUGAAACUCUCAACCCUGGUUAUGAUUGUGUAUCCAAGGGUUGGAUCAUGAGUGGCUGCUGGACCUGUGUAUCAGCUCGCUCUAAAUUCAUUGGCAGUCUGCUUGUUGUUGCUUCUCUCUGCAAACAUGUAGGGCUGGUGUGAUAGUAAUGUAUUCACUGGAACCCUGCUGCAGUUGAUUGUAGAGGCAUCAAUGGAGCUGAUGCACUUGACAAAUAUCUUUUAGUGUUUGACCUCAGAUCAGGCAGGACUACCCGCUGAACUUAA